rnacentral:lncRNA from 1 species
UCCACAAAUGAUGUGCAUGACUGGCCCCAAAGUCUAAGUGCUUUUAAAUUGUUCAUAAACUGUGUGGCAAUGCAGCAGUGAGCAGAGAUGUUACCUUAGGAGGAGCUGACUAAAGAAACCUCCACAGAGUGGACACGUGAAGUCUUUUCAUGCCAGGAUUUUAUGUUGUGAAAGUGACUUUUUGACAUCUGUGAGCAAGCUGGAGGUGUUUAAGAAACAAAGAAUGAGUCCAUGUUUCAGAAUUUGGCUGCACUGAGAUCAAGAACAGUUUUGUCAGCUGUUUCACCUCAGAAAAUAUUUCACAUCCCUUAUCUAUCCAAAACAAGUUCGUGA